rnacentral:rRNA from 1 species
AACUGCCUGAUGGAGGGGGAUAACUACUGGAAACGGUAGCUAAUACCGCAUAACGUCGCAAGACCAAAGAGGGGGACCUUCGGGCCUCUUGCCAUCGGAUGUGCCCAGAUGGGAUUAGCUAGUAGGUGGGGUAACGGCUCACCUAGGCGACGAUCCCUAGCUGGUCUGAGAGGAUGACCAGCCACACUGGAACUGAGACACGGUCCAGACUCCUACGGGAGGCAGCAGUGGGGAAUAUUGCACAAUGGGCGCAAGCCUGAUGCAGCCAUGCCGCGUGUAUGAAGAAGGCCUUCGGGUUGUAAAGUACUUUCAGCGGGGAGGAAGGGAGUAAAGUUAAUACCUUUGCUCAUUGACGUUACCCGCAGAAGAAGCACCGGCUAACUCCGUGCCAGCAGCCGCGGUAAUACGGAGGGUGCAAGCGUUAAUCGGAAUUACUGGGCGUAAAGCGCACGCAGGCGGUUUGUUAAGUCAGAUGUGAAAUCCCCGGGCUCAACCUGGGAACUGCAUCUGAUACUGGCAAGCUUGAGUCUCGUAGAGGGGGGUAGAAUUCCAGGUGUAGCGGUGAAAUGCGUAGAGAUCUGGAGGAAUACCGGUGGCGAAGGCGGCCCCCUGGACGAAGACUGACGCUCAGGUGCGAAAGCGUGGGGAGCAAACAGGAUU